rnacentral:rRNA from 1 species
UUGCACGCUGGCGGCAUGCUUUACACAUGCCAGUCGAACGGCAGCGCGGGGCAACCUGGCGGCGAGUGGCGAACGGGUGAGUAAUAUAUCGGAACGUACCCAGAAGUGGGGGAUAACGUAGCGAAAGUUACGCUAAUACCGCAUACGAUCUACGGAUGAAAGUAGGGGACCGCAAGGCCUUAUGCUUUUGGAGCGGCCGAUAUCUGAUUAGCUAGUUGGUGAGGUAAAGGCUCACCAAGGCGACGAUCAGUAGCUGGUCUGAGAGGACGACCAGCCACACUGGAACUGGGACACGGUCCAGACUACUACGGGAGGCAGCAGUGGGGAAUUUUGGACAAUGGGCGCAAGCCUGAUCCAGCAAUGCCGAGUGAGUGAAGAAGGCCUUCGGGUUGUAAAGCUCUUUUGUCAGGGAAGAAACGGUAGAGGCUAAUAUCCUUUGCUAAUGACGGUACCUGAAGAAUAAGCACCGGCUAACUACGUG